AAUUCGAAAGAAUCAGCGUUCUUCAGUUAAAAUAUACAGGGGCGGUCCCUGGGGAGGGAUGAAGCAGGGAUGAUUUUCUGUCCUCAUCUGCAACCCUAAAGGCAGAUCCUGUCCGAAGCUGCUGAAAGCAUGGAGCAUGGGAAGCACCUGGGAAGAACACCUGGCACUCAAAAGCACAGGAGGUCACCAAAGUGUGAAUGAUUUGGAGACCAAGGCAAGAACUCUGGCUCUGGAAUCAAAUCAGGAGAAUGCCCUAAUUGCGACUGUACUGCUAUUGUUGAGAAGACAACUUGACAACUCACUGUUGGUGAAGUAACUUUCUGAAGACUUGAACCUCAUGCAUUUCCUCCAGAAACAGACACAAGUGGAGGACCCAAGGUUAGGGAUGAGGAGCACAUGAUGAUAGGGCCAUGUGGCACCUCAGGGACUUGUUAAUCGGUCAUGUAAUUAGGAGCCUCUUGCUUGGCUCUGCUUGCAUUAAUGUUUGUGUGGUUUGUAAUGUCUGUGUAAUGUGAGAAGAGACAAGCCAAAUAGAAAAUAAAGAUGGUUUCUUGCUUCUCAUGAGAUGCUU
rnacentral:lncRNA from 1 species